rnacentral:rRNA from 1 species
AUGACCCACGCUCCUUUAGGCUCUUUAAAUUCCGUGGGUGGCGUAGCUACCGAGAUCAAUGCAGUUAAUUAUGUCUCUCCUAGAAGUUGGUUAUCAACUUCUCAUUUUGUUCUAGGAGUAUAUAUCCGGCAAAAUAGCCCCGUAACUUCGGGAGAAGGGGUGCCCCCUCACAAAAGGGGGCCGCAGUGA